rnacentral:misc_RNA from 1 species
AACGCAAAUUGCACUCUCUGGUAUUCCGGGGAGUAUGCCUGUUUGAGGGUCGCUUAAUAAACAUCGAUUUUCAUUGCUUUUUUUUAAAGUGAAUGUUUAUCGGAUUUGAGCCGUCUUUUUAUAUAUAAUAUAUAUAUUUAAAAAGUGGCUUAAAAUUGAUUUUUCUGGUAUGAUCGAAGCGUAUUUUAUGAUCAAUUUUUGGUUAAGGAAACGCAGACGUACCAAUCAUUCAUAUGAUGUAAUACGUUUGACUAUUGGAUUUAGUUCAUUCGUAUACGAUAUUUUUUCAAAUUUUGACCUCAAAUCAGGUAAGAACACCCGCUGAACUUAA